UACGUAGGGUGCAAGCGUUAAUCGGAAUUACUGGGCGUAAAGCGUGCGCAGGCGGUUUUGUAAGUCUGUCGUGAAAUCCCCGGGCUCAACCUGGGAAUGGCGAUGGAGACUGCAAGGCUAGAGUUUGGCAGAGGGGGGUGGAAUUCCGCGUGUAGCAGUGAAAUGCGUAGAGAUGCGGAGGAACACCGAUGGCGAAGGCAGCCCCCUGGGCUAACACUGACGCUCAGGCACGAAAGCGUGGGGAGCAAACAGG
rnacentral:rRNA from 1 species